UUAGAUAUAAUUAUUUAUUUAUUUUUUAUUAAAAUUAAUUUUUUGUUUUUAAAAAAUUGAUUUACUUUUUUUUAUAAUAGUUUAUUAGUAAUGUAGGUGAAUUUUAAAUUAAUUUUUAAAGAAGUUUUAAUUUGACGUACCUUUUGUAUCAGGGUUUAUUUAAUAAUAGGUUUUUAAUAAUUUUUCCCGAUUUUGAAGGAUUUAAUUGAUUAUUUAUUUUUUUGUUUUAUUAAAAUUUAUAAUAAUUAAUUUGAAAUGAAAUGUUAUUCGUCUUCUAAUAUCUGGUUUUUUAAGAAAAAAAUUUAAUUUUAUUAUUUAAAGGUUUGUUAUAAUUAUUUAUUUUUAAUUUUUGAAUAUUAUAUAUAUAUUGGGAUAAUCUUUUAUAUAAAUUAUUAAAAAUUUAAGUUUCUGUGAUUUUUUGUAUAAUUAGUAUUGUUAAUCUUUUUAAAAAAAUUAUAUUUUUAAUUUUUUCUUAGUUCUUUUUAUUAUUUUAAUUUGUUUAUUAAAAUUAAAUUUUUAAUUUUUAAAAUUUUGUGAUAAUGAUAAAAUUAGUAAAUUUUAUUUUAUUUGUUAUUGUUUCUUGAGUUUAAGAUAAGGAAUUUGGCAAUAAAUUUUUUGCCUGUUUAAUAAAAACAUGUCCUUUUGAUUAUAAUUUAAGGUCUAAUCUGCUCGAUGAUUAAUUAAAUUGCCGCAGUAUUAUAACUGUGCUAAGGUAGCAUAAUCAUUAGUUUUUUAAUUGAAAACUGGAAUGAAUGGUUUGACAAAAUAAUUUCUGUCUCAUUUUAAAAUUGUUUUGAAUUUUAUUAUUAAGUGAAAAAGCUUAAAUACCUUUAAAAGACGAGAAGACCCUAUAGAGUUUUACAUUAAUUGAUUUUUAGAAACUUUUUUUAUUGUUUAUUUGGGGUGAUUUGAAGAUUUAAUUAAUUCUUUAAAUUUUAAAUUGACGAUUGUUAAUUAUGAAUUUUAAUAUUUUUAAAAAUAAAAAAAUUACCUUAGGGAUAACAGCGUAAUUUCUUUUUAAAGUUCUUAUUGUAAAUGAAGUUUGCGACCUCGAUGUUGGAUUAAAAUUAAUUGUUGGCGCAAUAGCUGAUGAAUUGGGUCUGUUCGACCUUUAAAAUUUUACAUGAUCUGAGUUUAGACCGGUGUGAGCCAGGUCGGAUUCUAUCUUUAAUAAGUUAGUUUAUUUUAGUACGAAAGGACCAAAUGAAUAUUAAAUAUUAAUU
rnacentral:rRNA from 1 species